ACCCGAAAAACCUCCAUAAGCACCUCCUCGACCCAUGUAUGUUGGAUCAAACCCUCCCAUCAUAUUCUGUGGAUGCAUCAUACCACCCGCAGGACCCCCAAAGCCAGGACCUGCAAGGCCUUGUCCAUAACCUCCACCAGCAGCAGGUCCAGCACCGCUUCCAGCUCCAGAACUACUCCCAAUCAUGUUCUUUGCACCCAUGGGCCCUCUUCCCCUCAUCGCUCCACCACCAGGACCUCUGUUGGGUACACCCUGCCCACCUCGUCCCCAGCCGCCCCUUCCAAAAUUCCUACCUCCAUCACCACUCUGAUAAUUCAUGUUACCACCUCUCCCACCACCGUCGUUCAUAGGUCUCCUUCCCUGAGUCUGUGACUGAGGCUGGCCUUGGUUUUUGUUCAUGUAAGAAGCUCCCAUCUGUUUCAAUGUUUGAGGAGAAGCAAAAGCCACAACACAUGGUCGUCCAUUGAAAACAUGACCAUUCAUUCCAUCUUUGCACGCAGCUGCAGCAGCUGCAUCAAAGAAUUCGACUUGGCAAUAACCUUUGGAUUUACCACUAGCUCUCUCAUCAAAAAACUUAAUCUCCUUGACCCUUCCAUACUGAGACAAAACACUUUCAAGCUCCGCAUCAGUUGUCCACCAAUGUAAUUCUCCCACAAACAGCAUUGUCCCACCAUUCUCUAGAGGAGGCCGGAUUUGAUUCUCAUUCACCAUUGCACGAUUGACAUUUAUAUUCACACCCAUUUGAUUAGCUGGAAUCAGAGCACCUUGAGGACCAGCAGCACCGGGAUUUAGCACAGGUGCAGGCUCAUUGGCUACUCUUCCCGGCACAUUAGAAGGAUCAACUCCAGUUCUUGGGGGACCUGACGUAGACCCUUGAAAACCCAUAUUUCUAACAUGGGCAUCAUGAGUUGUCUCUUGGACACUCCCUUUCUGUGAAACAGAAGCUCCAUCUGGGUAAUUACCAGAUCCCAUGUUUGGUCUGUUGACAGCAACCUGCACAUCAUUCUGAGCAGGAAAGUGGGACCCAGCAUUGGUGUACUUUCCUUCAACAGAAACCCCAGGGACGUUUGACCCUUGUGAGACCCCAGCUUGAACUUGUUGCUCGGGAACAUCAGUUUUCUGAACUUGAAGUCUUCCAUUGCCCACACCAGCGGAUGGGGGAGGUGCCUCAGGCUGCUGAAACUGCAAUAAACCAUCUCCGACAUUAACAUCAUUAUAUAGAUCAUCAUACUCAUCAUCUUCUCCCAUCAACUCUUCAUCUGCAAGAGCAGGUAUAGCUCCACCUCCCUGAUACUGCAUCUUUUGAGCCCCUCCAUACUCGUCCUCCUCAUAAUCUAUUUGUUCUUCAGCCAUCGAAUCCAUUUAAGCUGACCAAGUUACAUCAAAAUAAAGAAAUAUUAUCUCUAUUCCUCCCAUGCAGAACUAUGAACAAAGAUAAAAGACCACUCAAAAUUGUUCUGCUUCUCUACAUCAACAGGUUUUAGAGCCAAAGAUCACCAAUAUUAAAGACCAACAUAGCUCAAAUUUAAGCAGAAUGUGAUUCAUAUGUAUAAACACAUAAUCAACACUUAUUAAUACAAAAGAUCCAUCACCCACCAAGGAAUACAUUUAAGAACCAUAAGAAACACGUCACCAUCCAUCCUAUAACAUAAAAAAAAAAAAAAAAAAAAAAAAACACAAAUCUGCAACACCCGCCGGGUAAAAUUACAUGAAUUACACAGAAACCCUACCCACAAGUGCAAAAAUAACAUAAAAAGGACAAAUCUCCAACACCCACUUCAUGAAGUCAAAAGGACACAAAUCCUUAAAAACCUGUCAAAUUACAUCAUCCAGUAAACAAAAAAUUACAUAUACAUUUCACUACAACGAAACUGAAAAACAUCGGAUAAGAAAAAAAAAAUUAACAAAACGCAGAAUCGAAUCGGGUUUUAUUUAGGUACCCUUACUCUUCUCCCCUCUGAAGAUGUAUGUUUUAUUAACCCUUUAGCUUAAAAAACUAACAGCGCUUGAGCAAAUUGUAUUCACCUUUCUCUUGUUCUUUGAUUUCUGUUUGUAACUCUGUUUUCUGCGCUGGUUGUACAGUGAAACCCUUAUGGAUUUGAUUCAGGUUUCGUCUUUCCCAGUCGGGCGAAUGGCCAAAUACGUGAUAUCUUAAGUCUCUAUAGAUUUAAUAUUAGUUAAAUAAAUUUUUAACCAGCCUUCUCGUAAUUUCCAAGAGUUUAUAGUGGAGAGUUUUCACCGAACUAAAUUUCAUGCUAUUUUCAUAUUUUUCAUUUGUGUAAUUAUACAUUUUACUAUCAUAUAAUUUCCUCAAAAUGAAAUAUUUUAUGAAAUAUUAAAAUAAAAAUUUGGAAUACCUAUUAUUAAUAACCAUAGACAUUUUACAUCUUAACAUUUCAACUGAAAUAAUGUGUUGCAUAAAGUUACUAGAUCAUAUAUUUUUAUAUGUAUUAUUAUAUCAUUUACUUCAUUGAUAACACAUCACUUAACAUAAAAUUUUAUUAUACUUAAUACUAUUAAUAUUAUAAAAUUAAAUAUUAUCCCAUUAACUAUUUAUUAUUGUUAUUAUUAUUAUUUUAGAAAUUACAAUUAACUAAGCAUUAGCUUAGUUAAUGGUAAUUAAUAUUUUCAUCCCAUACCUUCCCUACAAUUUAAUUCAAGUGGUUAACUAAAGAAAACAGUGGUUAAGCUCAUAUAAGGAAAAACAAAUUGUCAUGGUUUAUAUGAUUCAAUGUAUUAUUAUUUUAAUUUAAUACUUCUACACAUGGAGAUAACUAAAUUUAAUACUCCUACACGUGGAGAUAACUUUUUUGUAUAUGUCUUAGUAAUGUGAUUGUUUGUAUAUGUCUUAGUAAUGUGAUUGUUACUUAUAUGCAAUAUAAUGUCAUUAGUUAAAAAGUAGGACUAUUUAUACCCUAUAAAAUAUUUUGAACACCCUUUAUUAAAAUUUUAAUAUAAAUUUAUACUUAACACACCCUCUUCACACCGAUGAAAAUAUUUUUCUCACAAAACUAUGUUUCUUUUCCUCAAAAUUGCUAAGUGCGUAAUAGCUUGACAUUAUGCAUACAUAUAAGAGCACACAUACAUAUAAUCAUAUGUUCUUAAAGUUAAUAUUGGCGGGAGGGUAAACUUGAUUUAAAAUUUCAUAAAUGUUAAUGUCCUCAAUCUUAAGCUUUAUGCAUACAAUUAUGAAUAUUUAAUCUCUACUCAUAAAAACUAAAAAGGGAGGAAUAAAGAACAAACAUUUGUAAGUUCUUGACAUUAAUGGUGCGUUUACUUCAUGAGAAUGUGAAUAAUGUGGAAUGGGAAUGGGUUGGAAUGGGAAUGAAAUUUCAAUGACAAAAAUAAAUGGGAAUGGGAAUAUACUGGAAUACCAUUGAUGUGUUUACUUGACAAAAUAAAUGGGAAUGAGGAAUGAGAAUGAGAAUCAAUUUACCAAAAUAUCCAUAGUAUUAAUAAUUAAUAAAAAUAAUUAAUUUAUCAUUAUUAACAAUAUUAUCAUUAUUGUUUUUGUUGUUGUUAUUAUUAUUAUUAUUAUUAUUAUUAAAAAUCAUUAAUAAUAACUAAAAUAAAAAAGUUAAUAAAAUUUAAUAAUAAUAAUAAUAUAAUUAUUAUUAAAUUAUAUUAACUUUAUUAUUUUAGUUAUUAUUAAUUAUUGUUAAUAAUAUUUUUAUUAAUAUUAUCAUUAUUAACAUUUAUUAUUAUUAAAUUUUAUUAACUUUUUUAUUUUAGUUAUUAUUAUUUUUAUUUUUAUUAAUAUUAUCAUUAUUAAAUUUAUUAUUAUUAUUUUUAUUAUUAUUAAAUUUAUUAUUUUAGUUAUUGUUAAUUACUGUUAAUAUUAUUUUUAUUAAUAUUAUCAUUAUUAACAUUUAUUAUUAUUAUUAUUAACUUUAUUAUUUUAGUUACUAUUAAUUAUUGUUAAUAUUAUCAUUAUUAACAUUUAUUAUUAUUAUUAUUAUUAUUAACUUUAUUAUUUUAUUUAUUAUUAAUUAUUGUUAUUACUAUUUUUAUUAAUAUUAUCAUUAUUAACAUUUAUUAUUAUUAUUAUUAUUAUUAUUAUUAUUAUUAUUAACUUUAUUAUUUUAGUUACUAUUAAUUAUUGUUAAUAUUAUCAUCAUUAACAUUUAUUAUUAUUAUUAUUAACUUUAUUUAUUAUUAAUUAUUGUUAUUACUAUUUUUAUUAAUAUUAUCAUUAUUAACAUUUAUCAUUAUUAACAUUUAUUAUUAUUAUUAUUAAAAUUAAAUUUUAUUGAAUUUGUUAUUUUAGUUAUUAUUAUUUUUAAUAAUAAUAAUGAUAAAUGUUAAUAAUGAUAAUAUUAAUAAAAAUAAUAAUAACUAUAAUUAAUAAUAACUAAAAUAAUAAAGUUAAUAAAUUUUAAUAAUAAUAAUAAUAACAACAAUAAGGAUAAUAUUGUUAAUAAUGAUAAAUUAAUUAUUUUUAUUAAUUAUUAUUUUUAUCAUUAUUUUUAUUGUAAAUAAUGAUAAUAUUACUGAUAAUAAUAAUAAUAAUUAAUAAUAACCAAAAUAAUAAAGUUAAUAAAAUUUAAUAAUAAUAAUAAUUAUUAUUAUUAAUGACAUUUAAAAUAAUAUUAUUAUUUGUGAUUUGAAUAAGGGUAAUUUAGGAAAUAUGAAAAAAUUAGAAGGAUAGAAAAAUAAAUUUAUGUUUUAUUAUCAUUCCCAACUCCCCAUGGGAAUGUGAUUCGCAUUCCUUAUUUCAGAUUGUGUGGGACCUACACAUUUUAUUCUCAUUUCCAAAUUACAUUUUGUUAAGUAAACAUAUGUUUCAUUCUCAUUCCUUCAUUCUAAUUCCCCAAACCCAUAAGUAAACACAGCAUAAGAACUUAUUCAGAUGAAUAUUAAUUUUGUCUCACAUUAAUUACAGUCUUUUUUUAUCCGUCUCAUUCCAUAAAACGAAUGGAAAUAUACUACUCCGUUCAAUAAUGCUAUUCCUCACAACUCUACCAACUCCAAUGAAGGAGACAAAGUUAAAUGUGUAAAACGCACUAAAUGCAUGCUUGGAUCAUAAAAGGGAGUUGCUUGAAGCCUUGAACCUGUAAAAUAAGAGUAAUGAUGCAGCAGGAUUUUGUAGCUCUGCUUUUGUAGGAAUCAUGGGACAUGUUGCGAAUAUGAUUGGUGAUGAAUAUUGCAUGGAGAUAAUCACAUAGAUAAAUGUUGUUGAUUCCACAUAGUUUAUCGGUGAUAAUAAAGUUAUAUCAAACUCUAAUAGAAGGGUAUAGUUAAGAAUAAUAUUUUAUUUCAUUGCAUAAGACACUCUUUAGUUAUAAAAUCGAAGUCGAGUGUUCAUAAUAUUUUUUACGAUGUAAAUAGCCCGCCCAUGAUUAAAAAUAUAAAAUUAACAAGGACUUAUAUAAAGAUCUUUAUGUGCAGGUAAAAUAUGAAUAGGACGAGGGAAAGUGAUUAUAAUAAUAUUAUAUCAUAGAAUUUAUAUGUUUACACAUUAAAAAAAAUGGUUGAAUCAUUUAAAUAGAGACUUGGUAACGUAGAAAACUGAAGUAAAAUAACAAGAAUUUUGUUAAAUCAAAGACGAUUUGGUUGGAAUUUGGCAAAGAAAUGGAACCCUAAUUUUUACUAAAAUUAGGCAAAAGAAAGCUUCUUCCCAAUUUGUUAAGUAAAUUCCUAUUUACCAGCUCAGAAUGGCUAUCCUGAGUUUGUGGAAAUAAAGCAACGGGUGUCACCACAAGAUAUGAUGAAUUCCCCUAAUCAAGGACAAACCCAUCACCAUAAAUAAACCCGACAAUCUCUUCCUCAAAUCAUCCCCAGCAUUUGAACGAUCUGCAUUGUUCUCUAUAUUCAGUAGAGAACCUUGCAUAUAAGGGGACAAAAAAUUAAAAAUAAUAAGACGAAAAACACAAACCCCAUCGUACAUGAUGGCUCGCCAGGUCAUUGUUCUUGCUCUCAUUUUUGUAGCCAUUAUCAGUGUGGCCUCAGCCCAGCAGGAACCCAUUAUUCAGCCACAACCCAAUGAACCCCAGCAGCCUAAUCAGCCGCAGGAACCCAAUCAGCCUAACCAACCCCAGGAACCCAAUCAGCCUCAGGAACCCAAGCAGCCUGAUCAGCCACAGACACAGCCACCUACCCAGCAACCACAGCAGCCCCAGCAGCCAAAUCAGGCACCCGGUGAGGCACCAACACAGGCACCUCCAGCCGGUGGUGCACCCGCACCGGCACCCGGAGAAGCCCCAGCAGGAGGCCCAAGCAGUGGACCAGCUGCUGGACCUGGACCUGCAGAAGGCCCCUCUGGCGAGGCUAAGUUGCCUGAGGUUGCAAUGCCAGGACCAGUGGGCGAGGGAGAUGAGAACAAGUCGGAAGGGAGUGGUGCAAGCUCCCUCAAAGUCUCCGCCCUCGUCGCUGGUGUUGCAGUCGCUGCUGCUUUCUUCUACUAAUCAUGAGCAAAUUAGCUACGUCUACAAAACCACGUACCCGAUUGACUAACAUUCGUCGGUUGUCUACCGCAAAGCUCAUUUGAUAUAUGGAUUUGUUUGUCAUUAAAAUUCGAGGUUUUACGUAUCAUGAUGAGUUUUAAAAUAUUGUGGAUUGGAGAUAUUUGGAUCUAUCAUUGGAUAAUUUCUAAGUUUAACCAAUUUUUAUCAUCAUAUGUGCCUGUGGGUGCCUCUUCCGAGUUGAGGCUCGUAUAUAAAAAUAUUAUCCAUUGUUUACGUCCUGCAGGCUGCAUGGCGACUGAUCGAUGCAUGUCUUUAUCUUUGGUCAAUUGCCUUUUGUUCUUUAUGGAAUAGGGUGGUGCUUAAUCCUGAAGAAAUGAAAUUGCUCGCAUUCAAUCACAAUAUUGUCACGAUUUGCUUUAAUUUAAAGAUUUUAUUAAUCCCGCCUAUUUAAAUAAAUAAUAUCCUGGCUUUAAUUUAUUGAGAUGAAAUUAAAACGAGACUUUGGAAUCCCUGAUCAGACGACGAGCGCUUGUUGCAGCAAGCAAUAAUAAAAGGUGGCGAACCAAGUGAAUGAAAUAUAUAUCCGGAUCCCCUGAGUUACAGUUAACGCAACUUACAGGAGCUGCUUUAGUCUUCUCUGAAUUGUCGCCGUAAAAUAUCGUGGAGCCCCUGUACUUUAUAUUAUUGAAAAUUUAUAAAUAUAAGUAGGGUUAUUUUUAAAGACCUCCCCUGAGGUUUAGUGUACUUACAGUCGGAUAGAAAGUAUGCAUGUAAUUAUAGGAACCUCCCCUAACGUUAGUAUUCAAAUACGUAUGGCAUCAGUAUGUAAGGGUAAAUGUGUAAACAUAUAUUUAAAAUUAAAAAAAAAAAUCAAAAGUGAGAUGAUUUUGUUGAUUCGGCUCUUUCACAGCCCUUCAAAGGAGCCAACAUCAUCGGGACCCUCACAGCUCUCAACGCCGAAGUCCGCUGGUGGUCCUGCAAUAUCUUCUCAACCCAAGACCACGUGGCCGCCGCCAUCGCACGUAACUCAGCCUCCGUCUUCGCUUGGAAGGGCGAGACCCUCUAGGAGUGCUGGUGGUGCACAGAGAAAGCUCUGGAUUAGGGUCGCGGCGGCCCAGAUCUCAUCAUUGACGACGGUGGUACGCCACGUUGUUGAUCCACGAGAGGGUCAAAGCUAAGGAGAUCUACGAGAAGACCCGGAAGCUACUCGACCCGGCCUCCACCGACAACGCCGAGUUUCAGAUUGGUUGUACCAGAUGCAAGAAAAUGGAACCCUCUCGUUCCCUACCAUCAAUGUCAAUGACUCUGUCACCAAUAGUAAGGUAAUUUACUUUGAUUUGCUUCAGAUCUCAAAUUUAUUUUAUACUAUCAAUUCAUUAAAUGUUUGAAAUAUUGGAAGAAAUUAAAUACUAAUGUUUGAUAAUGCAAUGGGGGAAACAAUUUGAUGACUUGUAUGGAUGCCGCCACUCGCUCCCAGAUGGUUUGAUGAGAGGUUUUGAUGUUAUGAUUGCCGGAAAGGUUGCUGUUGUUUGCGGUUAUGGUGAUGUUAGCAAUGGUUGUGCUGCUACUUUGAAGCAAGCCGGUGCAUGUGUAAUUGUAACUGAGAUUGAUCUGUACUAGGAAGUUAGGUUUAAAUUUCGUAGGAGUGUGUGUUUGGGUGGUGGGAAAGUUGAAGGAAAGAAAUAGAUUGGUUUCAGUUGAUUGAAGACCAUUUGGGAUUUGAAUAAGGUUAUGGAUGGAGCUGUGUGGAUCAUUUUGUAUUUGAUGCAGUUUUAAAGUUUUGCUUGCUUUGCUGCAUCUUGUUAUCCUAUUAUUUACUUAUGAAUGAUUAAAAAAAUUUUGUUUGGAGGUCAAGAAAAAACGAGAGAAAAUUUCAAUGAAAACGGAGAAUCAGUCUAAAAAAUAACUUAUCAUUUUGAGGAGAAGGGUACUUUUGUAAUUUUAACGGUCUACUAACAGUCAAACUAACUGGAUACUAACGUCAGGGGAGGUGCUUGUAAUUACGUGGAUACUUUCUAUCUAACUGUAAAUACACUAAACCUCAGGGGAGGUCCCUAAAAAUAACCCAAUAUAAGUAUUACGAAACUUUCUGUAUUGUAAAAUUUUGUUCAGACUCUUGCACUCUAUUUUAUUUCAUUGAAACCUUCAGAGUAUCAAAUUCAUCCCCUAUAAUUUUUAAAUUCUCAAAAUACCCUUCAUUUAAGUAAAAUAUCAUUAUUAUUAAAUGGAUUAUAGUUAUAAUUACAAUUAAAAUAAUUAUUUUAUUAUAAUUAUAAUUAUAAUUUUUAAAUGGAUUAUUAUAAUUAUUAUUAAUAACAAUAAUAAAAAGUUAUAAUUAAUUAAUCUAUUAACAAUAAUUAAUAAUAAUUUUUAUUUAAAUUGUUAAUAAUAAUAAUUAACAAUAAUUGUUAUGAAUAAUUAAUUUUUGAAUAAUAAUAAUCACAAUAAUUAAAAUAUAAAAUAAUAAUUAUGAUAAAAAUUAAUUAAGGAUUUUAUAAUAACCUUCAAGGAUAUUAAUCAUCGACAAAAUUUUUAAGGAUAUUAUCAUUCAUCUUCUUUAUAAUAUCAUCUCAUAAUAAUUAAUAUUUUCAUGAUAAAAGGAUUAACAAAAUAAAAAGUAAAUUUCCUUUGAAUUCAUCCAUUUCCACUAUUAACUUCUUUUCAUAAGCAACCUUCAUUGAUAAUUGAAGCCAUCAUUAGACUCAUCAUAGAGAAAGAGAGUGAGAGUGCGGAAGAAGAAAUGGGGAAAAAAAUGAAAUGUUUACAAUUUUAUAGUGUAUUCACUAAACAAUAAUCAAAAUUAGCUGGAAACAUAAUGAGUUAGAAUCGAAAUGAGAAAUUGGAAUCAGAAUAAUUUAUUUACUUGAAUUGCAAGAAUCGUAAUUACAAUGAGCUAUAUUACUAUUUAUAUGUUUUACUUUGUUUUAGAAUCAAAAUCGGAAUGAGUUAAAUUGUAACAAAUUAAUAUAAACAAAUCCUUAAUUAAUUUUUAUUGUAAUUAUUAUUUUGUAUUUUAAUUAUUGUGAUUAUUAUUAUUAUUCAAAAAUUAAUUAAUAAUAAUAAUUAUUGUUAAUUAUUAUUAUUAUUAACAAUUUAACUAGAAAAUUAUUAUUAAUUAUUGUUAAUAGAUUAAUUAAUUAAUUAUAAUACUUUAUUAUUAUUGUUAUUAGGGAUAUUAUCAUUUUCCCACCUAAGGUAUUCUGACACAUCAUGUCAGUACCACGGUUUGGUAAAACUAUCAAUUUACCACCAAACGUUUAAACUGUUAGCAUUUUCCCACCAUUCCGUUAAAACUCAUUUAAUAUGUAACGGAAAAUUUCUAAAAGGUCAAUUUUACCCCUGGAGUAUAAAAAACCAUGUAAUUAACCUUUUAUGAAUUUUGUAAUUAAAUCAUCAUUUGUUGUUCUUCAUUCUUAAAGGACAAAAAUUACCAUUUAUGAAUUUUGUAAAAUUGACCAUGUGGUAUUAGGUACUUCAUAAAUUGAUUUAAUUGAUUUAAUUUUUAAAGGGCAAAUUUAUUUAUUUAAUUUUUUGUGUAAAAUUAUUAUCAUCAUAUCAAAGAUUAAAUUGCUUCUUUUGCACAUUCUUUUUUUUUUCCCUUUCAUAAAUUGAUGUUUAGUAGUAGAAUAAAUUGUCUUUAGCUCGACAAUUUAAUAAAUAAAUUUGACCUUUAAAAAUUAAAUAAAUUAAAUCAAUUUAUAAAAGUACCUAGCACCACAUGGUCAAUUUUAUAAAAUUUAUAAGGGGUAAUUUUUGUCCUUUAAAAAGGAAGAACAACAAAUGAUAAUUUAAUUACAAAAUUCAUAAAAGGUUAAUUACAUGGUCUUUUACACUUCAGGGGUAAAAUUGACCUUUUAUGAAUUUUCUGUUACAUAUUAACGGAGUUUUAACGGAAUGGUGGGAAAAUGCUAACAGUUUAAACGUUUGGUGGUAAAUUGAUAGUUUUACCAAACCGUGGUACUGACAUGAUGUGUCAGAAUACCUUUGGUGGGAAAAUGAUAAUAUCCAUUGUUAUUAAUAAUUAUUAUAAUAAUCCAAUUAAAAAUUAUAAUUAUAUUUAUAAUUACAGUUAGGGGUGGGCGUUUGGAUCGGGUUAACCUGAACCGAACGAAACCCGAAAUUUUAUUUUGGUCUCGGUUUGGUUUGUGUUAACUAUAAAAAUCCAAAUGGAUUCAAAUUUCCAACCGGUUCGGCUUGGAUUUCGGUUCGGGUUGAACCCGAAUCGAAAUCGAGACCAGAUCGGGUUAAUUGAAAAAAAUAAAUAAAUAAAACUUAGAACACCAAAAAAUCAAAACCCUUAUUUCCUCUUUUCUCUUCUUUGCACUCCACAUCGAGACAAGCACAACCUCAACCCCAGCACACUCACAAUCUCACUCACAAACACCACCGGUGUCAAUUCAACUCAGUUAAGGUGCAUCAGCGUUGCAAUUUUAGAUUCAGAUGCUGCCUCCUUCUUCGUUUCAGAUCUAGUAUUCUUGGGCCCUUCGCUUUAGAUCUAGUCGUUGCCUCCUUCUUCGUUCGUAGUCGUCAGGAGCACAAGGUGAUGUUAAUGUCGAUGAUGUUUACGAUUCCGAUGAUGUUAUUUUUAGUGAUGUUUGCAUUUCGCUGCCUCCUUCUUCGUUAUUGUUAAUUGAAUGUAUAUUUUUGGAAGGAUUUGGUUUUCGGGACUUGGCAAACAAAUCCAAUCUCAGGUUCUAUUCCUCUGUUGAUACCCGUUUGCACUUAUCCAUUAGAAUUUUAUUAUGACGUUGCAACUCUCUGCGUAGCAACUGUAGUUUGUCUUUAACAGGAAUGGCUGCAUCUAUUUCAGCAAGAACUUGUAGGGUUGGCAAAAACCCGGGUCCGGUCCAGGUUUGGCCAUGCCCGGGACUGGACCGGAUCAAUAAAACAGCUGCCCGAACCGGGAUUGUGCCCGAUUUUUUCACAUCCAAUCCAGGUCAGGCCCGACACCUCCCGAGCACGGGUUUUUUAUCCGGGCUUUCUCUGCCCAGAUAAAUUACUGGUUUGCUGUAGUUAUUAAAGAUUCCAAUGAAAUCAACCUUGCAAAUCAUUCCAUUUACGGCAAAUCAAUUCCAAAACCAGCCAAUCUUAAAAUGCAAAAGUUUGAUAUCCAUGGAGCAAUGUUUGUGGUUCUUUGCCAAAAGAAUAGCCUGAAAAACGUGAGUCGAUGAUCUGCACUGCGUGGGUUCGAGUGGCUGGGUUCGCGUCGCGUGGGUUCGAGUGGCUGGUGCUAGGUUUACUGCUGGCUACUGCUGAGGUGGCUUCAUGCAUCGUGGCGGUGUGCUGGCCGGGUUUGUUGGAGGCUGCUGCUGCGGUGAUUUCACGUGGCUGCUGGGUUCGUAAAUCGCUACUUUACUGUUGGUGGUUGUGCUCGUGGCUGCUGGAUUCGGCGAUGAUUGGUCGUGGGUGCUAUUGUCGUGCUGGUUUUGAUCGGUUAGGUGAUGGCUGCUUGAGAGAUGUGUAAGAAGUGCAUACUGCACAGCAUUUAAUUUUAGAUAUUUUUUUAAAGGAGAAAUGCAAAUUAUGAAGAAAUUUGUGCUAUUAGAAUGAAAAAAAAAAUGAACUAAUUUGCAGAUUUUUUAUUUGAAAAGGAUUCAUGCUAGAGAAAGCCAAAAGUAAAGAAAAAGAAAAGAAGAAAAAAAAAAGAACCAUAGUCAUAUAACAGCAUGUGAGGGCUAUCAAAUGGUGCUUAAAGCACUCAAGAGUCAAGAUCUAAGCCAAGUGGUGGUCAAAGCACUCAAGAGCCAAGAGCUUGAGUGCUUUUGCUUUUUGCAAUCAGAUGAUGAUUUUGCAGGAUGUAUAAGACGUUUUUGCAAUCAGUGCUAGCUUGGAGUGUUUGCUGGGGGGGUGUUUGCUUUUUGCAGUUGGCAGCUUGUGUUUCCUUGGAAUGUUGAGUGGUGGCCGCUAGCUUGGAGUGUUGGAGAGCUGGAUGUGCGGCAGCCGGCAGUAGUGCUUGUGUUUGCAUACGAAUAAGAUAGAAAAUUACGGUAAGUUUCAAUUUUGGGUGUAUUACAUUUAUAUAUAUAUAUUUUAACUUAUCAAAACCCGGGCACGGAUCCGGGUUCCGAGUUUUUGGUGCCACAACCGGAACCGGACCUGGAAGUAUCCGGGUUUUAAACUUCAAUAACUGGACCCGUAUUAUUUGUAUAUGCGGUCCGGGUUUUGCCCGGACCUGAUUGGCCGGUUCCGGGCGGGUUUUAUUGCCACCCCUAAGAACUUGCCGAUAUACAUUCUAGAUUAUGCAUAUUUGCUUAACAUCAAUUACGAUUGGCCUUGAUAUGUGCUCCAAACUCUUGCAUAUAUAGAAUUGAACUUUAUUUUUAUUCUGAUUUAAGAUUUAAGAUUUGAGAAUUUAAAAUUUUAGUUGGUUAAUGACGAAUGUUUGGACAAUCAAACUAUUAUAACCCGAUUUCAACCCAAACCCAAAUUUCGAUCUGAAUUACUAACCCAAACCGAACCGAAAUAAUUUCGAUUCGGUUUAGUUUAGGUUUGUCUUUUGAACCCGAUUGGGUUGAAACCCAAACCGAAAUCCAAACAACCGAACUGAAACCUAAUUUGCCCACCCUUAAUUACAGUAAAAUAAUUAUUAUAAUUAUAAUUAUAAUCCAUUUAAUAAUUAUUAUAUUUUAUUUACAUGGAGGGUAUUUUGGGAAUUUAAAAAUUAUAGGGGAUGAAUAAUGAAUUUCAUACUCUAAGGGUUUCAAUGAAAUAAUAUAGAGUGUAAGACGCUGAACGAAAUUUUACAAUACAAAAAGUUUCACAAUACUUAUUAAUAAAUUGUGAAUAAUAUAAAGUGCAAGGGGCUCAGAGAUAUUUUACAGUAACAUUUCAGCAAACAGAGAAACAGCGGCAAGUUACGUUAACUGUAACAUGGGGAAUCCGAUCCGGAUCCAUAUAGGGGGAUCCUAUAAGGAUAUAUUGACAACCUAAGUUCGUAUCCGAGGAUAAGUACAGAUCCUUGAGGGCAAUAACAGACGGCAAUUAAACUUUGCGUUUCCUUCAAAUAUUCGAUAUUCCUCCAUACAUCCGGUGUCUUAUAAACGGGACGAAUUUCGUCGCCGUAGCCGGUAAGUGCUAAAAGUUAAAAGGUUUUCAGAAUUAUAUACCGCUGCCUUCUCCAACUUGCUGAGCUUUCAGCUUUGCACUCUUGAAUUCUGAAUACGACAUUAAUUUUUGUAAUUAGACAGACAUUAACAUUUAACCGGCCCGGCCGGGAACUUCAAGUUGUUAAAUAUGACAUGAACAUUCAGUAUCGGGAACCACGUUGUGUAUAAAGUAAAGAAAAUGCACAAGAAAAUCUUUCAACAUCAUCAAAUCGAGGGCCAGUGCACAACGCUGGCAUUUGCAUUGAGCUUUCUGAAACUGAAACUGAAACUGAAACAGUAACAGCACAGAUUGGCUGAUAAAAUACAUAACUAUAAAUUAUGGAGAUAAAAUUUUUGGAAUUAAAAAAGAUUCCUGAAGUGGCAGAUUAAACUGGAGGAUUGGUCAUCAGAUAGAUGGAACAGACGCGUACACUACACAGGCAGUUGGAAAUAUUUAUACAUGGAACUAACAAGAAUCAGUCAUACCCAACUCCUAAAUUACAUGACAAAACUAAAGAUUCACAAAGCAGAACUGGAUGAAGCGAGUGAUCUUGUAAAAGAAUACAAAAGCCAAGAAUAAUGCACGAGAGAGCAUGCCAUGCUAAGUAAAAAUUGCAGCUGCCAGUGUGGGGAAAGGCAGCUUUCCACAUUAAGCAAGUAGAAACCCUCGGAACAACAUAGUCAGGUGGGUAUCUGAGAUUAUGCCUCCUUAAAACUCAUAAUCUCAUUCCUCAGACAGGAAACCUAAUGUACAUUUGAGCAGAACAUUUCAAACCCUCUCCAUAAACCACAAAACUUUCAUCCCUAAUCACUUUUCUGGUAUACAAAAACAGAGACAAUGAUCAAUCUAUCAAUAAAAAUCCAUCGAAAGAAACGGUACAAAUGAAAAUCAAAUCUGAUUACAACAAAUUCAUACUGCAUGACAGAGGAAAUGUACAUGGAAUGUGGCAUCAUGCCUUCACCUGCAACAUUCUCAAAACAACCAAAACUCUCAGUUCCAGCCCAAUAGAAUGAUGCAGAAGUCCACAAUUUACGACUCCCAUGUGCAGGUAAACCUCACAACUUACAUAGACAAUAAUAAUAAUAAAGGUUAAAAAAAAAGGCACACUUCCAAUGUUCCUUUAUCUUUUAUGUAGAAAAUACAACUAGUUCUACACAUGUUACAAUAAUCAAUUACAAGUGAAACAAUUCCAGGUUACAAAUUACUAAAAGCUCAUCACUGACUAUCCUAAAUCAGUUACACUGCAUCAAAUGUAAACACAAUUGUGCCUCAAAGUCAGUACAACAGUCUUACAAGCUCACAGCGAGCCACAAAUAGUCAAAUAAAUAAUGAAAGAGGCCUUUACAUGUGAUGGACCUAAUACAUGUAACUCAAUUUUACAGAAACAUGAGAUGAUGCUUUACAAAAUGGUAUAUAAACCUAUUAAACAAAAUCCUUUCCAUUUUUUGACAAUUUCAUGGCUUCAACUAUUUCUAGGCAUUCUCUUCCAGGAGAGCAGUUCACACAUUCUUAAGGGCCGCUCGAGGGGGCAAAAAAGUGAAAGCCAAAAUUGUCAAGGCUUGUUUGCACACUUGACAGACCAAAGCCAAUAUUUGAGAAAGCGAAUGAAUGCAGCCCAUCAAACACAUCUUCCUUGGUUGCUACUCCACUCCCUGAAUAUGGUGAUAAAAAGAAAGCCCCCAUGUCAAUAGACUUGGAAAAAGAAAACCUACCAGCCAAAGAGGCCACUAAACUUUCCUCAAAGAGCACUACAUGAUUUUAGUACCAUAUUCCUACAAUCAAUGAAUCAAUCACAAUCACCCAUGACUGGGGACCUCAUGUAAGUCCUACAUGAUAAACAGCCCAGAUUUCACAACAGGGAAGUAAAGCCCUUAACUGGAAGGUGUUUUGCUCUCUUUGAUCAGAUAACAUAUCAAACUCAAGUACGUCCAAAUCCACCCAUUCAUAACAAAAGUCUAAGGGAAUCACACUUCUACAAAACACAAAUACAUUAUUUGCCAUGUGACUUUACUAAAACUACCGUACCCGGCUGAAACUCACAACACCAGAUAUGACAACUUUUCAUUCUAGGAUAAACCAUAAUAAAAUAAUAUCAUACACUAGAAAUUAGGGAAAACAUUCUAUUAUACUAGUUACCACCAAAAUAACGGAACUUCUAAAAUAUAUAAUGAUUUGGAAGAUAGUUCUUUUAUGGCUAAAAUAGUGUUUUGGAAGAAGAAACAAAAGUUCAAAUAGCUGUUUUAAUAUUUAAAAGUAUAUUGAUCUUCAAGAGAACUAAUCAAAUUAAAAUAACUAAUUGAAACUUCAAAGAACAAUCACAAACGAUUAGUAGAAAGAAAAAGAAAGAGGGAAGCAAGAAAAGAAAGCAGCCAACCAUGCCUUCAAGAAAAGCUUCUCUCUCUCUCUCUCUCAUUUUUCUUUGUGAUUUUUUUUCUUCUUUUCGAGUAAAACCAAAAAGAUUGUAUCCGAAGGACAAGAAAAAGAUAUAAAAAAAUUCAAAAAGGUGAACAAGCAAUCCACUGAACCAGCAAACGAAUCAAACAAAACAACCAAACAAAAACAGAAGCACCAAAAAUCAAACACUACUCACGACUUCAAGAAAAGCUUUCAGAAACAGAUUCUUAGUUGACAUUCACUAAGAUACGAAAGAGAAGAUUGGAAGCCAUUUACUAGACCAACAACUCCAAAAAUUGGCCAUCAUAUCCACUUAUCCUUACCCCCAAUUCCAAGCGAAAAAACCUAAAAGAAUUUAACAUUCCAAGUAAUCCACCAGUCCAUAAGCAUAAGCAGCACCACACAUACAUUGUGGAUAUAAUUCAAAAUGGGAGGAUGAAUAACAUAGACUUUAAUAAAUAGUUACGAUGCCCUAGCAAUAUUUGAAACAUUGCUAGUAUGACUUGCUGAUCAAAUAAAACUCACUUGAAAAGAAAAUAAUAAAGGCAUGCUACAUAUCAGCUGUUGCUUCUUCUGAGGAAGGUCAAUUUGAUGGGAAGAUACAAAGACCACAUAUUAAACAUUGUCAAGUCCGAGAGAAACCCCUGAAGUAGGACUUCAUUUUCUAAGACAAGACUAAGAAUCCUUAAUUAGUUGACCAUCACCACUUUGGCCAGCACUUUACCCCUUAUGGGCCGACCCGGUGCGAGCGGGGAUUAGUCUGGGUUGUGGUACGGGCUUAAAGGUGCCUCCCACAGUUGGGGCCCACUCAGGACCACCUCGUGGUUCAGACAAAAAAAAAAAAACUAUUCUAAUAAAAGACAGAUGAAUUCUAAUUCCAAAUUCAAAUCUAAAUGUCAUUUGAAGUGAUACAAAGGACCCAGAAGGCAGAAGGACACAGCUAUCACAUGCAUCAGUUUAAAUAUUAAAGUCAUGCACUGACUCAGACUUACGAGCACCCUUUAAAUACAAUCCCAAUAAAAAUAAUGGGUUGGCAUGGAAAAAAAACCAUAUUCUAUAAUCAACUAUAAAAAAACCAUAUUCUAUAAUCAACAACUACGAGAAGACACAGGUGUAGAAAGCAAUAUGGACAACUAAUUCAAACUAUGAUAUAAUUAGAGUAGGCUUUGUAACAUGUGACCAGAAGCCCCAAAACCAUUGUCUCAGAAAUAGAUUCAGUAGAAUAAAUAUAAAGCCAUUGGGAUACUCGGCAAGGAUAUCAAGAGUCCAACCCUAGAUAGAAUAUCCCCAUUGGCAUGCAACUCAAAGUCACUCAUCAUUUUUUAACAAACAAAUAAGUGUUGGCAGUAACGUUUAUAGAAUGCAGUACGAAAGAACAGAGAAUCUAUGCUUCCCUUCUACAAAUAUGAGAACUUACUUUUCCCUCAAGAAACCACUCUGCAUUUAGGCCACAGUAACCAGGAAAAGCGAUAGGUAGAAGCAUUGUAACAACCCAAGAGCAAUACAGUAAGAUAUAGAGAAUAUGAGGUCUUGUAUGACAUGCCACGGAAGAAUGAAAAGCGUGACUCUGUCACUCUGAUGGUAGCCGUCUCCUCUUCCCAUAGUCCACAUCUCUCGAUCGAGAUCUGUGGUCUUCAUCUGGGAUUACUCCGGACCUGCUCCGAGAUCUUGAAGACGAUUGCCCCUUGUCCCAGUUGUCAUCAUAAGUUGAGUCACGAUCUCUUUGUCGACGAUCACGAUAACUAUCUUUUUCUUCCCUGUGUCUGUGAUCUCUGUGAUCCCUUUCAGAUCUGUCCCAGUCUUGUUCCCUCUCCUCUCGGUGCCUCCUAUCUGUGUUCCCAGACCAGUCACGCUCAGAACCACGAUCCUUUUCCCGGGAGGCAGCAGUUGACCUUGCUCCUUUUUCAUGACUUGCCUCCCCAUACCCAUAAUCAGAAGCACCAUCAUCACCACCAUAACUUGACUCCCUUGUCCUUCGUCCAUAUUCCUCUCCUACCCAUCCACCCAUGCUUGAGUCAGUCCACAUCCCUGGAUGCGGUCCAUCCAUUCCAGAAGAACCCAUCAUACCCAUCCCAUUAGCUGCCAUUCCUCGGUUAAAGAAUGCUGGGUUGACAUGAGGAGCCACCCCAGCAAGGCCCAUUGCAUUAACAGCAGGAAAUGAAGGAAGCAUACCAGGAAAACCUGGACCCGAAAAACCUCCAUAACCACCUCCUCGACCCAUGUAUGUUGGAUCAAACCCUCCCAUCAUAUUCUGUGGAUGCAUCAUACCACCUGCAGGACCCCCAAAGCCAGGACCUGCAAGGCCUUGUCCAUAACCUCCACCAGCAGCAGGUCCAGCACCGCUUCCAGCUCCAGAACUACUCCCAAUCAUGUUCCUUGCACCCAUGGGCCCUCUUCCCCUCAUCGCUCCACCACCAGGACCUCUGUUGGGUACACCCUGCCCACCUCGUCCCCAGCCGCCCCUUCCAAAAUUCCUAC
rnacentral:lncRNA from 1 species